rnacentral:rRNA from 1 species
GACGAACGCUGGCGGCGUGCCUAAUACAUGCAAGUAGGACGCAGUUGCGAACGGGUGAGUAACGCGUAGGUAACUGGCUAUUAGAGGGGGAUAACUAUUGGAAACGAUAGCUAAUACCGCAUACUAGUAGAUGGACCUUCGUUGUAUUAGCUAGUAGGUAGGGUAAUGGCCUACCUAGGCUACGAUACAUAGCCGAACUGAUAGGGUGAUCGGACACACUUGGAACGGGACACGGCCCAAACUCCUACGGGAGGCAGCAGUAGGGAAUCUUCGGCAAUGGGGGGAACCCUGACCGAGCAACGCCGCGGGAGUGAAGAAGGUUUUCGGAUCGUAAAGCUCUGUUGUUAAGGAAGCGUUACUUAACCAGAAAGGGACGGCUAACUACGUGCCAGCAGCCGCGGUAAUUC